CACGUAGGGCGCGAGCGUUGUCCGGAAUUAUUGGGCGUAAAGCGCUCGUAGGCGGCCUGUUGCGUCCGCUGUGAAAGCCCGGGGCUUAACCCCGGGGCGGCAGUGGAUACGGGCAGGCUAGAGGUAGGUAGGGGAGAAUGGAAUUCCCGGUGUAGCGGUGAAAUGCGCAGAUAUCAGGAGGAACACCGGUGGCGAAGGCGGGUCUCUGGGCCGAAACUGACGCUGAGGAGCGAAAGCGUGGGGAGCAAACAGG
rnacentral:rRNA from 1 species